AUUCUGGGACCUUGCUGGGGGCAGACAGCCCUCCCUGCCCAGCAAUGGGCCUUUGGGAUGUGGCACAAGCUCCCGGGAAACCAGGAGUGACAAGGGCGCCUGUCCCUGAGGAGUGGAGAGCGCGGAGUUGGUGCUGAGUCAGCCCUGAUGUGGCAGAGGAGGAGCAGGCCCCCGCAGAACCAGGGCUCUUCAGUGUCUCCAGGUCCUUGGUGAAGUGGAACUGGACCAGGCGCGAGUUCCGGAACAGCGGCACUAGGGUGGUCUGCGGGGAAGCGAGGGGACCCCCAGCUCUGGCUUCUCCCACCACGGCCUCCCGGCUCCCAGCCCGCUGAGUCCCCCGGGCCCAGGACCAAACUGAGACUCCCCUGUCCUCCCUACCUCAGGAAACGUCAUCUCCACCGCUCAACCAGCCCAACCCUGGAGUGCUGUGGAAGCCGCUCUCAGAUCCCUUGGCAGCCCCCCAGGUGCAGGUCGUGGCUGCCCCUGCCCCGCUCAGUCCCUGCACAGCCACCAGCUGGCUGCCUGGGACCCCUUGAAGCCAAGCCUGAGGAGCUACCCACCACACCUGCUUCAGCACCCUCAGCUCCGCUCCCUCACAGCCAGCUCAGGCCACCUGGGGAGGCGCUCUUGCCCCCAGCCCCGCCCUCUGGAAGAGCUACUGCGUGCAGGCUCCAGCACCCGGCCCCAGCCCCUCACCAGCAGCUGCUGCGGGAUGAGCUGCAUGUACAGCUUCCUUGGCCACUGCUCGGUCCUCCUGUGGGGCACAAAGGGACGAGGGUCAGGAAGCCCCAGCUCCCCUGGAUGCUGCCUCCACCCCCCAGCCCAGCACUCACAGGAUCUCCCCCUGGUUCACGUAGACGUGGGAUGGCAGCCACCUCUUGGACCGACUGUUGGGCUCAGGCCUGGGCUUUUGGGGGAGAGGCAAAGAGGAGCCCUCAGGGCUGGAGACCCCCAAUGCCAGUGUCCCCUCCCAGCCACAGUCCGUGAGGAUCUGGGGGUCCCAAGUCCCUGGGCUGCCGAGUGCUCACCUCCUGCCACUCCAUGACACCACUCCAUGCCAGAAACUUGUUGUUGACGAUCUGGACUGGGCCUGAGUUGACACCACCAGGUCCCACUGCCUGUUGGAAGGGAACGGGGUGGGAAGAGGGGCCCAGGCUCCUGGGAAACCUGUCUGUCUGUCCUGGGGCCUGCCAUCCCUCCCUCCGAGCCUUGGCCUGUUAGCCCCAGCUGGGUCCAUUCUCUAGUCCCAGGGGAACAGGCCCUGCCCCUCAUCUGCUCACAGCCCCCCAUGGCUCCCCAGUGGCCUGAGACAGGUCCCGGCCCUCACCUGGUGCACAGGACCUGCAGAGUCUGCCUCAACUGGCAAGGCAUGACCAGGACACGUGGUUACCAGGCAGGGCCUUCCAGCCGCAGGACGAUCCCAACCCCUGCCCAGCUCCCCGCUCCGCUGGCUUCCCUGCCGCCGCGCCAAGACCCACCCUCCAGCCCUGCAGAGCCGCCCAGUGGCCGCUUUUCCAUGGAGCCCUGGUGGGAACCCGCCCGGCAUCCUCCGGGCUCCCCUGCAGCUCCUUGCUCCAGCCAUCGCAUCACACUCCGCCCACACCAAGUCUGGCUGCCCAACCAGGGCAGUGGGGUCUAAUCCCCCUCUGUCCCCAGAGGGGCUGUGCUUGGCUGGCACACCUGCUUGCGGGUGGUGAUGACCUGCCGGAUGGCACUGACGAAGCCGCUCUGGUCGUAGGGGAUGAGGCCCAUGAAGAUCUUCUUCUUGGACGAGUACAGGAGCAUGAGCACGCGCACCUCACAGGGGGAGAUGUGGGGGAACAGCAUGCAGCCCGCCUGCGGGGGCCGCGGGUCAGGACCCUGUGGUCACUGCCCGGGGCCACUGUGCCCCCACCACCCUGGACCGCCCCACCUGUAGGGGAUGAAGGGAGAUCAUCGGUGGACAGAGGCCCCCACAGUCAAGGCCAUGGCCAUAGGUGAGGGGCCUCUGAGAGCCCGUGCAGCGCCCAUCGGCAUCCCCCGACCCUGCCAUGGCUGAGGUCAGAGUGGCACCCGGCACCCAGGCUGCGGUGAGAAUGCCAAGAAGGCACUACCUCCCACCCACAUCACCCCCUGCCGCCAGCCCUCCUGACUGCCUGAUGGGGUGACUUGGCCUGGGGGUUAAGAGCACAGGCAGCGCCCCACCGUUCUGCUGCCUCCUAGCUGUGUGACCUAACACCAGCCACCUCCUGCUUCUGGGCCUCCAUCAUCUGUAAAACCGGGUAAUAGUGCACACAGUUGGUGCCACAUAAAGGCUCAACAGAUA
rnacentral:lncRNA from 1 species